GAUGAACGCUGGCGGCGUGCCUAAUACAUGCAAGUCGAGCGAACAGACGAGGAGCUUGCUCCUCUGACGUUAGCGGCGGACGGGUGAGUAACACGUGGAUAACCUACCUAUAAGACUGGGAUAACUUCGGGAAACCGGAGCUAAUACCGGAUAAUAUAUUGAACCGCAUGGUUCAAUAGUGAAAGACGGUUUUGCUGUCACUUCUAGAUGGAUCCGCGCCGCAUUAGCUAGUUGGUAAGGUAACGGCUUACCAAGGCAACGAUGCGUAGCCGACCUGAGAGGGUGAUAGGCCACACUGGAACUGAGACACGGUCCAGACGCCUACGGGAGGCAGCAGUAGGGAAUCUUACGCAAUGGGCGAAAGCCUGACGGAGCAACGCCGCGUGAGUGAUGAAGGUCUUCGGAUCGUAAAACUCUGUUAUUAGGGAAGAACAAAUGUGUAAGUAACUAUGCACGUCUUGACGGUACCUAAUCAGAAAGCCACGGCUAACUACGUG
rnacentral:rRNA from 1 species